CACAUGGACGCAGAAGACACAGCAGUUUGCAUCCAAAAGAAGUCAGUGGAACAGAUCUUUGAGGCUAUGUGUGGAAAUGGUGCACAGCAGAUGGAAGGAGAGUCCUCA